CACUCGUGUUCCUCUGUGCUCUACUGCGUUUGCAAGCGGGUGUGUUCCGCGCCCGGCUUAAAAAAGGAGGCGUCACCGGUGGUAUGCUGGAGGCUUGAGUCUGCAGCAGCGUGGCUCGCCUGGCUGCGGUUGGUCGCGGUGAGGGAGAGUACAGCGCAGCCAGUGUGGUAGAAAGGUGGCAGAGUAGGAUUUUCUGGCUUUGCCCGCCCAGUUGCUUCGAGCCUGGAAGAGGAGUCACCUGCCGCUUGCUGGAGAGCAGACUGCGGGCACUGCGGUGCCCACGUUGGGAGGCAGCCACGCGCCAUGCCACAGGUGGUCAGCCACAGGGCUGGGAUUUUGCAGCCAGCCGGGAUCCAGACGUGCUUCCUGGUGUGACUAAAGGAGAGUCGGGCCGUGUGUGGAGUGUGAAUGCGUGUGUAUUUGCAGACAGACACCAAUAGAUGGGAGUCUCACUCUGUCGCCUGUGCUGGAAUGCAGUGGUGUGAUCUUGGUUCACUACAGUCUCUUUCAGUGCUUCGGUGCCUGUCCAGUAGGAAGUUCUGCCUCUUGGCUGAUCUCACCCUGACAUGCUGCACUUUUCUGGGCUUCCUUACCCUGUUCCUUCCUCUGCCUGAGGAAGUUGCUUCUCCCCCUCUGGCUGUGGGUGCCCACUGCCUUCUGGGCAGGGUCUGAAGAGGGACGCCAUAUCCAGCCUCCAGCCCCAUCCUCCCGAGUCUGAGCUGAGGGUGCUGGGCUCAAGCUCGGGGUUGAGGAGGUGAGUCAGGGAUGGCUGCAGGGGUUGGGCAGAGUGGCGUGUGUGUCACCAUGCUGUAGAGAAGUGUGUUUUCCUGCCUCCCUCCACCUGACCUGC